rnacentral:rRNA from 1 species
AUUGAACGCUGGCGGCAGGCCUAACACAUGCAAGUCGAACGGUAACAGGAAGAAGCUUGCUUCUUUGCUGACGAGUGGCGGACGGGUGAGUAAUGUCUGGGAAACUGCCUGAUGGAGGGGGAUAACUACUGGAAACGGUAGCUAAUACCGCAUAACGUCGCAAGACCAAAGAGGGGGACCUACGGGCCUCUUGCCAUCGGAUGUGCCCAGAUGGGAUUAGCUAGUAGGUGGGGUAACGGCUCACCUAGGCGACGAUCCCUAGCUGGUCUGAGAGGAUGACCAGCCACACUGGAACUGAGACACGGUCCAGACUCCUACGGGAGGCAGCAGUGGGGAAUAUUGCACAAUGGGCGCAAGCCUGAUGCAGCCAUGCCGCGUGUAUGAAGAAGGCCUUCGGGUUGUAAAGUACUUUCAGCGGGGAGGAAGGGAGUAAAGUUAAUACCUUUGCUCAUUGACGUUACCCGCAGAAGAAGCACCGGCUAACUCCGUG